rnacentral:rRNA from 1 species
CGCGUAGGCGGCCACCGCAAGUCGGUUGUGAAAUCUCUGGGCUUAACCCAGAAAGGUCAACCGAUACUGCGGGGCUAGAGUGCAGAAGGGGCAACUGGAAUUCUCGGUGUAGCGGUGAAAUGCGUAGAUAUCGAGAGGAACACCUGCGGCGAAGGCGGGUUGCUGGGCUGACACUGACGCUGAAGCGCGAAAGCUAGGGGAGCGAACG